CGUAGUCGAUGGGAAACAGGUUAAUAUUCCUGUACUUGGUGUUACUGCGAAGGGGGGACGGAGAAGGCUAUGUUGGCCGGGCGACGGUUGUCCCGGUUUAAGCGUGUAGGCUGGUUUUCCAGGCAAAUCCGGAAAACCAAGGCUGAGGCGUGAUGACGAGGCACUACGGUGCUGAAGCGACAAAUGCCCUGCUUCCAGGAAAAGCCUCUAAGCAUCAGGUAACAUCAAAUCGUACCCCAAACCGACACAGGUGGUCAGGUAGAGAAUACCAAGGCGCUUGAGAGAACUCGGGUGAAGGAACUAGGCAAAAUGGUGCCGUAACUUCGGGAGAAGGCACGCUGAUAUGUAGGUGAAGCGACUUGCUCGUGGAGCUGAAAUCAGUCGAAGAUACCAGCUGGCUGCAACUGUUUAUUAAAAACACAGCACUGUGCAAACACGAAAGUGGACGUAUACGGUGUGACGCCUGCCCGGUGCCGGAAGGUUAAUUGAUGGGGUUAGCGGCAACGCGAAGCUCUUGAUCGAAGCCCCGGUAAACGGCGGCCGUAACUAUAACGGUCCUAAGGUAGCGAAAUUCCUUGUCGGGUAAGUUCCGACCUGCACGAAUGGCGUAAUGAUGGCCAGGCUGUCUCCACCCGAGACUCAGUGAAAUUGAACUCGCUGUGAAGAUGCAGUGUACCCGCGGCAAGACGGAAAGACCCCGUGAACCUUUACUAUAGCUUGACACUGAACAUUGAGCCUUGAUGUGUAGGAUAGGUGGGAGGCUUUGAAGUGUGGACGCCAGUCUGCAUGGAGCCGACCUUGAAAUACCACCCUUUAAUGUUUGAUGUUCUAACGUUGGCCCCUAAUCGGGGUUGCGGACAGUGUCUGGUGGGUAGUUUGACUGGGGCGGUCUCCUCCUAAAGAGUAACGGAGGAGCACGAAGGUUGGCUAAUCCUGGUCGGACAUCAGGAGGUUAGUGCAAUGGCAUAAGCCAGCUUGACUGCGAGCGUGACGGCGCGAGCAGGUGCGAAAGCAGGUCAUAGUGAUCCGGUGGUUCUGAAUGGAAGGGCCAUCGCUCAACGGAUAAAAGGUACUCCGGGGAUAACAGGCUGAUACCGCCCAAGAGUUCAUAUCGACGGCGGUGUUUGGCACCUCGAUGUCGGCUCAUCACAUCCUGGGGCUGAAGUAGGUCCCAAGGGUAUGGCUGUUCGCCAUUUAAAGUGGUACGCGAGCUGGGUUUAGAACGUCGUGAGACAGUUCGGUCCCUAUCUGCCGUGGGCGCUGGAGAA
rnacentral:rRNA from 1 species